rnacentral:rRNA from 1 species
CGUGCUUUCGAUACGGGUUGACUUGAGGAAGGUAGGGGAGAAUGGAAUUCCUGGUGGAGCGGUGGAAUGCGCAGAUAUCAGGAGGAACACCAGUGGCGAAGGCGGUUCUCUGGGCCUUUCCUGACGCUGAGGAGCGAAAGCGUGGGGAGCGAACAGGCUUAGAUACCCUGGUAGUCCACGCUGUAAACGGUGGGUACUAGGUGUGGGGUCCAUUCCACGGGUUCCGUGCCGUAGCUAACGCUUUAAGUACCCCGCCUGGGGAGUACGGCCGCAAGGCUAAAACUCAAAGGAAUUGACGGGGCCCCGCACAAGCGGCGGAGCAUGCGGAUUAAUUCGAUGCAACGCGUAGAACCUUACCUGGGUUUGACAUGGAUCGGGAGUGCUCAGAGAUGGGUGUGCCUCUUUUGGGGUCGGUUCACAGGUGGUGCAUGCCUGUCGUCAGCUCGUGUCGUGAGAUGUUGGGUUAAGUCCCGCAACGAGCGCAACCCUUGUUCACUGUUGCCAGCACGUUAUGGUGGGGACUCAGUGGAGACCGCCGGGGUCAACUCGGAGGAAGGUGGGGAUGACGUCAAGUCCUCAUGCCCCUUAUGUCCAGGGCUUCACGCAUGCUACAAUGGCUGGUACAGAGAGUGGCGAGCCUGUGAGGGUGAGCGAAUCUCGGAAAGCCGGUCUCAGUUCGGAUUGGGGUCUGCAACUCGACCUCAUGAAGUCGGAGUCGCUAGUAAUCGCAGAUCAGCAACGCUGCGGUGAAUACGUUCCCGGGGCUUGUACACACCGCCCGUCAAGUCAUGAAAGUUGGUAACACCCGAAGCCGGUGGCCUAACCGUUGUGGGGGAGCCGUCGAAGGUGGGACUGGUGAUUAGG